CCAUCUUUGAAUAGAAUUUCUGUGACUGUGUUUGUUGUCAAAAGUUGCACGUGCAGAAAGGUUCACAAAUAUAUAUACAUUUUUUAAUUGACUGUCUAUUUAUCAUAAAAAAUUAAGUUUACGUUUAAUACUGAUAACACAGAGAGAACGUGAAGCUGAUUUCACAUCCCCUUCUUCCGGAGCGAUUCAACAACAACAGGAUGCCCGGUCGAAAGAAAAGUUUAAUUAGGGAGGCCUACGACAAGCACAUAUCAGAGAGAGCGGUCUCGUACCAGAGAGUGGUCAACGUUGUGGAGAGGAGGACUGCAGUAACAACACCUGAGCAUGAAUAUGACAGAGAAUUUGAAUACGAAACCAGUCGCUAUAGCAGGAUUCAAAGUUACCAUGACAAUGACCAGAGAGGAUACCAUAGCGACAGCAUUCACCUGGGAAACGAUCGUGGAUACCAUGGCCACAGUACUGCCAUAGGUAGCAUCAGAGGGCGGAACUCCCCAAACCCCCGACAGGAGGAUUACAGAGAUUCAUACUACAGGGCAUUCCGAGAUGACGUUCCGGUUGGACUUCAAGGAGAGAGGAGGUACAUCAGGGGUGCCCGUUCCUUAACAAGCUUUUGGUUAAUGAUUGUGAAGAUGCUUUUAUGUCUCCGGCGUUUUUUUAUACUGACUCCCUGUGGAAAUCCAAUCCACAAGCACGGUGUUGCAAAUGCCAUUCUAAACCAAUGGUGUCAAACAGGAUUUGUGUUUUGCGUUUUGUCUGAGAUGUUAUACUAUGAACCACCAGGUGGCAGCAUAGUCUUAACCAUUAGCUAACCCCCAUGAUGAAUAGGGCCUUGUGUUUGCUGAGGUUUCUGAGAUGAGGUUUUUUUUUUUUCUUCAAAAUAAUGUCUCUUUGUGUAAUCCAUAACUUUGGUCAUGUAAUUUAUGGCAUUAGCUUAAAAAUGUAUCAGUUUAAAUUAUCGGUCUGUGCUUCCUGGACAAAUAAUUCGGCAACCAUACAUGCUACCAACCUGUGGAUGGUCUCAUCUGUUGGGGGAGAUACGACAGAGUAACAGGCUUUGAAUGGUGUCAAUCUGACAUGCCUAGUCUGAAUGGAAGGUCAAUAUGAGGCUGUUUGCUCUUGUUUCAUACUGUAAUUCCACUUAUAAGUCACCUUUCCCUUGGGGACCUGGAACCCCUUCCUCUCACACAGUAUCGCUAAACCCUGUGGAUGUGCCCUGGUGCUGCCAAGACAGCCGUCUAGAGGCCCUUACACGGUGAAAGACCCAAGGUGUUCUCUGUGGCUUGUUCCUAAUCUUGAGCCACACAGAAGAACCCAGAAGUACAUGUCAUAACGGGCUGUUUGUGUGAAGUGUGUUGCGGCCUCAGCAAACGCCCUCUUCAUGAGUACCAGCAGUUCACAGGCCAAGACCACCUCCACUCACUCCUCCGCAUCCCUCGCCUCACACCUCCGCUCACCCCUCUGCUCCCCUCCACUCACCCCUCGGCUCCCCUCAGCUCACCCCUCCGCUCCCCUCAGCUCACCCCUCCUGGCUCCAGACGGACAAAGGGCACCAGUGUCUACUCGCUGAGCCUACAAGGCUAAACCCCCACAGGAAAACCAGCUGGGCCGCCGGCCACUCCCUCCCUUGCCGAAAAACAAUCAUGGCUCACGGUUCUCUGCCCGCUGCGCUGGAGGGGGUGUCACUGUGGAAUGAUGGUAAUGACCGCCUAUGGCCGUAGCUGCUCCUUUGGCUCGGAGGCAAUGCUUGAGGCUCGUAGGCUGUGGAGGUGGUGUGUGGGUUUGCCACUGCGGCAGAUGGGCACCUGGGUCUGGUCUCUCAGUAUUUAGUGUUGUCUGGAGGUUAAUGGGAGGGCCUUGGCCCUGCAGGGCAGCCAGCAGAAAGCAGACUUUGGGAGGUGGUGGGCCUCUCAUUUUGGCUGGAGGCUGUAGAGGCCAGGCAGCACGGACGAACAACAAAGCCCCAUUACUUUCCUCAAACUCAUCUGAAGAAGGGGUUCUCUGCAGUGUGUGUGUGUGUGUGUGUGUGUGUGUCUGUGUGUGUGUCUUUGAGGCAACCUUUGUGGAGCUCUUGACCUCCUGUGAUGAAUAGCAGAUAAUGAGGGAAAAUGGAGAGCUGUAUUAAGUGCCAGAAGUGCAGCUGGUAAUGAGUCAACUGCUCUGUCUUUGAACCAUCAAAGUCCCCUCAGCCAGACCCCGCCACACGCGCCUCUAAUGCUUUUCUUAUAAACUCUCUUUGUAAUUCGAGCCAUAAUUGCCGUCACGUCAUAUUUGUGCGUGAGGCCGAUCGCACUGAUAUCUUAUUG
ensembl:lncRNA